GACGAACGCUGGCGGCGUGCUUAACACAUGCAAGUCGAACGGAAAGGCCCUGCUUUUGUGGGGUGCUCGAGUGGCGAACGGGUGAGUAACACGUGAGUAACCUGCCCUUGACUUUGGGAUAACUUCAGGAAACUGGGGCUAAUACCGGAUAGGAGCUCCUGCUGCAUGGUGGGGGUUGGAAAGUUUCGGCGGAUGGGGAUGGACUCGCGGCUUAUCAGCUUGUUGGUGGGGUAGUGGCUUACCAAGGCUUUGACGGGUGGCCGGCCUGAGAGGGUGACCAGCCACAUUGGGACUGAGAUACCGCCCAGACUCCUACGGGAGGCAGCAGUGGGGAAUAUUGCACAAUGGGCGGAAGCCUGAUGCAGCAACGCCGCGUGCGGGAUGACGGCCUUCGGGUUGUAAACCGCUUUCGCCUGUGACGAAGCGUGAGUGACGGUAAUGGGUAAAGAAGCACCGGCUAACUACGUG
rnacentral:rRNA from 1 species